AGUAUUUGGCCACGAGGUUAUUCCCAAAACCACCCACUUUAUUGUAGCUCUGAUGAUGCAGGAGCUACAAAGAUAGCAAAUAUUGCUGUAUUUCUCAGAGGGCAAAGGAAAAGAAAAUAAGGAAGAGCAGAAGAAUAGUGUACAGAGGAUGAGGAGAAAUACUGGUAAGUGUCUUCAGAACAGAAGAUCAAGAGGAAAGGCUCUAUGCAGAGGGUUUCAGAAGAGAGAAGAUAUUUCAUCUGCAUCUCCCACUUCAGAACAAUACUGAAAGCGCAACAUUCAAGCUGCGAUCAGUAAUCAUGAGCCACAGGAACCUGCUCAUUUGUAUUGUAAAUUACACAACUUCUGCCCUUUAUUUCAUAUACAGUUGAUCACUUUUGUCAGGACUGUCAUCAGAGCAUGUGCCUGGGAAGAAAAAGAACAAAAUAAUAAUAAAAAAAGCCAACAACCAUGUUUCUUCACAUUUUGCUCUGUCUCAGUGGAAGUGGAUCUACAACCUAAAGACCUUUCAGACCACCUGCCUUCAAGUAUUCAACAAUUCUUGAAUACUUAGGGAGCUGGACUUUAUGAUCUCUGGAGUUCCCUUCCAACCCCUAAGAUUUUGUGAUUCUUUGAUUCUUGCUGGACCUUAUACAAAUAAUAGUGUUUUUCUAUGCAUUUCUAAACUUUUAGCUGACAAAGCUAUUUCUUAAGUGUGUUCAUUUUGCUGGUUUGAAUAAAAACACCUGAUGUG
rnacentral:lncRNA from 1 species